rnacentral:snoRNA from 2 species
ACAUCAGUUGUGUUCCUGCUGUAAAUAUGGACAGACAAUAGAGUUGAUGAAAUUUAGGUGAGCACUAUGUUAGUCAUAGGUGCUCACAAAGGACCAUCACACAUAC